AACGAACGCUGGCGGUAGGCUUAACACAUGCAAGUCGAGCGCCCCGCAAGGGGAGCGGCAGACGGGUGAGUAACGCGUGGGAACAUACCCUUUUCUACGGAAUAGCUCGGGGAAACUGGAAUUAAUACCGUAUACGCCCUACGGGGGACAGAUUUAUCGGGGAAGGAUUGGCCCGCGUUGGAUUAGCUAGUUGGUGGGGUAAAGGCCUACCAAGGCGACGAUCAAUAGCUGGUCUGAGAGGAUGAUCAGCCACAUUGGGACUGAGACACGGCCCAAACUUCUACGGGAGGCAGCAGUGGGGAGUAUUGGACAAUGGGCGCAAGCCUGAUCCAGCCAUGCCGCUUGAAUGAUGAAGGCCUUAGGGUUGUAAAGCUCUGUCACCGGAGAAGAUAAUGACGGUAUCCGGAGAAGAAGCCCCGGCUAACUUCGUGCCAGCAGCCGCAGUAAUAC
rnacentral:rRNA from 1 species